rnacentral:rRNA from 1 species
AACGUAGGAGGCAAGCGUUAUCCGGAAUCAUUGGGCGUAAAGCGCGUGUAGGCGGCUCGAUAAGUCUGCUGUGAAAGUCCAAGGCUCAACCUUGGGAUGCCGGUGGAUACUGUCGAGCUCGAGUCCGGAAGAGGAGUGUGGAAUUCCUGGUGUAGCGGUGAAAUGCGCAGAUAUCAGGAGGAACACCAAUGGCGAAGGCAGCACUCUGGGACGUGACUGACGCUGAGACGCGAAAGCGUGGGGAGCAAACAGG